UGGGGAAUAUUGCACAAUGGGCGCAAGCCUGAUGCAGCCAUGCCGCGUGUGUGAAGAAGGCCUUCGGGUCGUAAAGCACUUUCAGCGAGGAGGAAGGUGGUGAGCUUAAUACGCUCAUCAAUUGACGUUACUCGCAGAAGAAGCACCGGCUAACUCCGUGCCAGCAGCCGCGGUAAUACGGAGGGUGCAAGCGUUAAUCGGAAUUACUGGGCGUAAAGCGCACGCAGGCGGUUUGUUAAGUCAGAUGUGAAAUCCCCGGGCUCAACCUGGGAACUGCAUUUGAAACUGGCAAGCUAGAGUCUCGUAGAGGGGGGUAGAAUUCCAGGUGUAGCGGUGAAAUGCGUAGAGAUCUGGAGGAAUACCGGUGGCGAAGGCGGCCCCCUGGACGAAGACUGACGCUCAGGUGCGAAAGCGUGGGGCAGCAAACAGGAUUAGAUACCCUGGUAGUCCACGCUGUAAACGAUGUCGAUUUGGAGGUUGUGCCCUUGAGGCGUGGCUUCCGGAGCUAACGCGUUAAAUCGACCGCCUGGGGAGUACGGCCGCAAGGUUAAAACUCAAAUGAAUUGAC
rnacentral:rRNA from 1 species